AAAAUGGACCCAAAGGCGGUAUUUGGUAUUUCCAUAUAAACUAAUUAAUACGGGAAUAAUUAUAUAAGAAUUGACAUUUU
rnacentral:tmRNA from 9 species